rnacentral:rRNA from 1 species
AUUGAACGCUGGCGGCAGGCCUAACACAUGCAAGUCGGACGGUAGCACAGAGGAGCUUGCUCCUCGGGUGACGAGUGGCGGACGGGUGAGUAAUGUCUGGGGAUCUGCCCGAUAGAGGGGGAUAACCACUGGAAACGGUGGCUAAUACCGCAUAACGUCGCAAGACCAAAGAGGGGGACCUGCGGGCCGCUCACUAUCGGAUGAACCCAGAUGGGAUUAGCUAGGAGGCGGGGUAACGGCCCACCUAGGCGACGAUCCCUAGCUGGUCUGAGGGGAUGACCAGCCACACUGGAACUGAGACACGGUCCAGACUCCUACGGGAGGCAGCAGUGGGGAAUAUUGCACAAUGGGCGCAAGCCUGAUGCAGCCAUGCCGCGUGUAUGAAGAAGGCCUUCGGGUUGUAAAGUACUUUCAGCGGGGAGGAAGGCGAUGUGGUUAAUAACCGCAUUGAUUGACGUUACCCGCAGAAGAAGCACCGGCUAACUCCGUGCCAGCCGCCGCCGUAA